ACCCGACGAGUCGGUCCGACUAGAUGCUCUGUGUCAACGACUUGGUCGAUUAUGUUCUGAGAAGGAAAUCGAAGUUUGGAACGAAUUACCAAAUCCGAAGGGACUACAAGACUGUCGACUUACCUUAAUUGGAAGUAUAGUAUCCAACCCUACUGUUAAUUUGCCAGCUUUUCAGGGCACCAUGACCAGAGUAUGGAAGACCGAACGUGUCCACAUAUCUCAGCGAGAUAAUGGCCUGUAUAUUGCUAAGUUUCAGUUAGAGAAAGAGAAACAGAGAGUAGCUGAUGGAGGUCCAUGGUUGUUUUCAGGACACCUGGUUAUCUUUAAACAAUGGUUGCCUCAAACACCUCUACAUUGGUAUGAUUUUACCUGCUGUGCUUUCUGGGUUCACGUAUACGGUUUACCUCUGGAAUGGAGCACUGAACAGCUCCUUCGCCGGGCCGUGCAACAGAUAGGUUCAGUUGUUGCUGUUGACUCCACUAUAUCUGCAGGAUCAACCAUUAGACACUGCCGAGUUCGAAUAGAGAUCGCCCUCGCCAAUCCCCUGAAGACAGGAAAGCUAAUUAGAAUUGCUGGCAAAACCUUUUGGCUUGAUUUUAAAUACGAACGUUUGCCUAACUUCUGUUAUUCAUGUGGUAGAAUCGGCCACUAUGCGAUGUAUUGCCCAGAAUAUCCUUAUGAUGCAGCCUUACUAGAAGGCAAUAGCAAAAUGGCUUAUGGUCCUUGGCUCCGAGCAGACGUGAAGGAAUAUAGCCCUUAUUGGAAAGCAUUCUAUACUCCACAGGACUUAACUCAGCAAAUGGAUGAUAAUGUACCUGAAACUCCCCCUGAUAUGCAGCCACAACUUCCUUUACUACCUCCACCUGAAUGUCCCAAUCGACCAACAGCAGCGAUGAAUCCACAGCCAGUACAUCUCUCGUCUGCAGCAACGGAAGUUCGGCAGACCACGGACUUGGUAUCUGCUUCGACAAAGUUGAAGGCAAUUCAAUCUCCAUCUACGGACAAGACAAAGCAAGUACAAAGGCAUUCACUCCGAAAUCUUAGCACAGGGGGUACUUCUAAGAAGCAGCGGCGAUUUUCCCCUUAUGAGAUGCGACAGUUAACCGUGCCAGAUUUUGAUGGCACCCAACUGAUGGACAAUCCAGUGUAUUCUGAAGACGAGUUGCAACAAUGGGCGACGGUGGCUGGCCCUCAACAGCCACCCCAAAACAAAUGAAACUACUUUGUUGGAACUGUCAGGGCCUGGGCAAUCCCCUGACAGUUCAAGCCCUUAAGGCCUUAGUUGCCAAGGAUAAGCCCGACUUGGUUUUUCUAAUGGAAACCAAGAAUUUUGAACCGGUUCUCUCCAGCUUACAACGGCGUUUGCAUUUUCAGCAGCUUUUUGUUAUUAAUCCUGUUGGUCUGAAAGGUGGUCUAGCACUUCUAUGGCAGGAUAACUUAUCAAUAGAUAUCAUCCAUGCUUCAGAGGAUUAUAUAGACAUGCUGUGUAGUGAAGUGAAUGUGGCUAGAACUAUGCGCAUUACCUGUUUACAUGCUCCCUACUCCUACCAUAUGCGGCAGUUAUUAUGGCAAGAGAUACGGCUGAUUAGUAUUUCCAACACUUGGCCUUGGAUUUGUACAGGAGAUUUUAAUGAUAUUCUCUACCCAUGGGAAAAGGUGGGCCGGAGGUCAGUUGCUCCUUUCCGACUUUCCUCCUUUCACUCUUUCAUCAAUGAUUGCUCGUUAAUGGAAGUAGAGAGUAAAGGGUGUCGGUUUACCUGGACAAAUAAAAGAGUUGGUGACGAUCUUAUCAAAGAGCGAUUGGAUAGGGUCCUGUGCACCUCCAACUGGCGGGUGUUAUAUCCGACAGCUGUUGUUUUUGCGUUGCCGGCUGUGGGUUCUGACCAUAGCCCUCUCCUUUUGGAUACCAUCGGAACACCUGCCAAGAAUCGACGUCAAUUUGUUUAUGAGGCAUAUUGGAAUAGGGAUCCCGAAUGUCAGCACAUUGUACAGAGGCAUUGGAAUUCCAGUAGACAUCAUCAGUCCAUGUUCGAUCACAAGAUUCAGGUUGUAACCAGGGCUUUACAGGCAUGGAGUCGUGAGAAAUUUCAGAAUGGACAUCAACGAAUUAAUGCGUUAUAUCAACAGCUCACCGACCUCAAUAACACCCCAUCUCUUCACUCUAAUGACACAGAGGAUGCAUCUCAAAUUCGGGAUGAAAUACGAAACUUAUGGCAACAGGAGGAGCUUUUCUGGGCUAUGCGGUCGAGAAUCAACUGGCUGCGUUCAGGGGAUAAGAAUUCCAAAUUUUUUCACGCCUCUACCAUUCAACGCCGUCAACGAAACCGGAUCAUCAUGUUACAAGAUGGGAAUGAGGAAUGGGUACGAGAUCCCCAAGCGCUAAGGGAGAUGACGACUGAUUUCUUCUCUCAAUUAUAUACUUCAGAGAGAGCUCGGAACUACAACCCUGUUUUGGAUCAAUGUCCCUCAGUAGUUACUUUAGACAUGAAUAACCAGCUAACUGCCUCGGUCACUAUGGAAGAGGUACAAAAGGCUACUUUCCAGUUAGGGAUUUCCAAGGCUCCCGGCCCCGAUGGUUUGAAUGGCCUUUUCUACCAGAAUCAUUGGGAAAUUAUCAAGUAUGAUCUUCUAAGGUUAGUGGAGGAUUUUUUUAAUUCCGGUUCAUUACCUAGACAGCUUAAUAAAACCAUCAUUGCUUUAAUCCCCAAGACCAAUCACCCCCAAAGUCUAGAACAGUAUCGGCCAAUCAGUCUCUGUAACUAUGCUUAUAAAAUCAUUUCGAAAGUUCUUGCCAACAGACUGAAACCCUGGCUACCAAAUCUUAUAGCCAAGGAACAAGCUGCCUUUGUUAGUGGUCGUCACAUUCAAGACAAUGUUUUAAUACUCCAGGAAGUAAUGCAUCAAUUCAAAGCACGCAAGUGGAAGCGGAGGCAUAAAAUUUUAGUAAAGACAGACAUGCAUAAGGCGUAUGAUCGUGUGGAGUGGGAUUUCCUGAAGGAUUACUUGCUUAAGUUGGGUUUUCAUCAUCGAUGGGUCCUAUGGGUCAUGCAAUGUGUAACUACUACAUCCCUUGGUCUCCGUUUUAAUGGUGCGACACUGCCUUACAUCCAACCGACAAGAGGACUCAGGCAAGGUGACCCUCUCUCCCCUUACCUUUUUGUGCUAGUCGCCAAUGUUCUUUCCACUUUGAUUACCCAAGCAGUUAGUAGUGGAUAUCUUAAAGGGAUAAAGUUUGCACGGUCUUGUCCCACACUAUCCCAUCUAUUUUUCGCCGAUGAUUCAGUCUUUUUUCUGGAUGGAACCAUUACUGAAUGUCAGAAUAUGUCCAAUAUCUUGAAUCAAUAUUGUAUUGCUACCGGGCAGACUAUUAACAGGAACAAAUCGGGGAUGAUAUGUAGCAAAUACUGUCCAAUCAGUUUGCAAGAACAUUUGGCCAGAGAAUUCAGGGUUCCUGUCCUACAACGAUUUGGCAAGUACUUGGGUAUCCCCUCUGAUUGGGGUAGAUCAAAGAGAGACAUGUUCUCUUGGAUUGUGGCAAGGGUCUCAUCAAAAAUGGAAGGUUGGAAAGAAAGUCUAUUAUCUAAAGGGGGUAAGGAAGUCCUUCUUAAGGCGGUAGUGCAGGCUAUUCCCCAGUAUGCUAUGUCUGUUUUUCAGCUUCCUCAAUCUAUAUGUAAGACUCUAGAACAGCGUAUCGCUCAAUUCUGGUGGAGGAAUGAUGUUAGUCGAAGAGGGGUGCAUUGGCACCCAUGGAAUGCUCUAAAGAUCAGUAAGCAUAGUGGUGGCUUGGGUUUUCGAGACCUGAUGGUUUUUAAUAAAGCUUUGCUGGGUAAACAAGCCUGGAAACUAGUUCAAAGUCCAUUAUCUUUAUGGAGUCAACUGUUUAAGGGCCUAUAUUUCCCUAAUGGGUCCUUUCUAAGGGCAGAGAUUGGGUAUCGACCUUCUUGGGGCUGGAGGAGUCUGCUGGCUGGAAGAGAAGCAAUACUACCGAAUUUGAGAUGGUCUGUGGGUGAUGGUAAACGUAUUAGCAUUCGACAGGAUCAAUGGUUACCUAUUGGGUCAAUUCCAGGGCCCUUGGCUCGGGAUGAACCUCAAAUUGUAGCAGAUCUCAUUGACCCUCUCCUCCAAACCUGGAAUCUUCCACUACUUCAGAGGCAUUAUGAUGACUGUAUCGUCCGAGAGGUUAUCAAGAUCCCUAUCCGACCACUAUUUACAUCUGAUCAGCUAAUCUGGGCAGCAAGUAAGGAUGGUAUCUAUUCUGUGAAGAGUAACUAUCAAUCCCUCCAUUUUUCAGAAGUCCCCAGAUCAGUUAAUGGAGCCUCAUCAUCUAACAGUCAGGAUAGUCUUAUUUGGAAGAGAAUAUGGACUAUGAGUACGGAGCCUAAGGUGAGAAUGUUCUUAUGGUCGGUCUUCCAUAACGCACUCGCGACCAAAGAUAAUCUGUUUCGACGCCAUAUUACUUCGGACCCUAUAUGCGACCUGUGCAAUCAGCAGACCCCAGAAACAAUUGAACACAUCUUUUUCUCGUGUUCAUGGACGAAGGAGAUAUGGAAACAUCCUGAUUUAAUUGCAUUAAACAUCCAAACAACAGUUCACAGCAUAGCAGGUUGGAUCGCUACUCAAGUCAGGCAGAAGAGUUCGGUACCUGGGCUAGCGUUUAUUGCGUAUGUCUUAUGGCAAAUUUGGCGAGGCCGGAAUAGCUUCGUUUUCAGACACAAACAGCCGAAGUCCCACUUUGUUGUUCCUGAUGCGCGAGCUCAACUCAACAGCUAUGACCGAAUCAACCCUAGGCGGAAGAAACCACAAUCCAAUGCUCUGUACUCUGAAUUUCUUUGGCGGCCCCCUGAUCGGGGUGCUAUCAAAUGUAAUAUAGAUGGGGCUUACCAACAGGGAUGUAACAAGGGAUCAAUGGCGUGCAUCAGUAGGGAUUUCAAGGGCAGACUCACCGAUGUUUAUUCUGCAGACUUUCCAGCGAACUCGGCACUUCAAUCUGAGGUGCAAGCCCUCGCUUUUACCCUUCGGCAUCUGCAGCAGAAGGAACUUCACAAAGCUCGCUUGGAAGUUGAAUCUGAUUGCUGGAUCAUGGUGGAUAUAUUGAACCGGAACACACCACCUCCAUGGCAGGACAGACCGCUCUUCGAAGAGGUGAAGACGCUCCUCCUUUCGUGCCCUAAUCUGCACCUGAGACAUUGUAGGAGAGAGACAAAUUCAGUGGCUGACUGGGCCGCGAAGGCCCAUGGCCGCCAAGACCUUUCCCCAGAUUGGAAUCUAUUUCCCCCUUUUUUGCUUUUAGAUCUGGUGAAUGCAGACGCUGUUGCAAGUGGAUGUAAUAUGGAACCGCC
rnacentral:lncRNA from 1 species